AUGAGGGUAGCAAUGAGUGCAAGAGCAAAAGAGAGACAGAAGAGAAAAAGUAAGGGUAGGGUGGACACUUGUGUGAGGCAGUUGAUGAGAGGUGGAUGUGGGAGGCAGGCAGAGGGCCUGCAAAGAAUGCUGACAUUAAGGAUAACCCAUGAAUCAUUUAUCUCCAGCCCAGUUAACAAGGUGACAGCUCUUGAAUUAUUAGCAGAGACACCAGAGCACUUUUUCUACAGCAGCAGCCUGAGGGGGCAGUGGGGACUGGGAGAGAAUGUGGGACACCAUCAUAAAAGGGACUUGCCAGCACUGUUGAGCUUGAUUAUUGUGCAGCCCAGCAAGACAGAGAGAGCAGCAGACUUCCGAACCGAUGCAGAUGGGUCGUGGCCAACUGGACCCCGAUGAACGGCAACAUCGCCUCCACGUCAACCUGUGCCUCUACUGGGGAAUCCCUGGCCAUUUCCGCACAACCCGCCCAGCUUGCCCGCCGCAACCCAAUGUUAAGGUUAGUAAAUCGCAACUAACUGUAUCUAUGACUCUGGAGUGGCCGGGGAACAGAGUGGAGACGCGCGCUGGUAGAUUCCAGUGCAGCAAGCUGUUUUAUGAAUGCCGGUUUUCCUCACACACACAGCAUACCCAGACGAGCUUGAGAUGUACGCUUGUGGGUUGUUGGCUUUGACGCCCAACCAAUAGGGACUGGCUUAGUGGACUCACGCACCGAAUUGCUGCAUAUGUCGAUCGCGACUUGCCACCGCAAAGAACUCAUAUUUUACCUGGUGGCGUCACUGGACACACCAUUCAUCCUGGGCUUCACUUGGCUAGCACUACAUGACCCAGUGUUCUACUGGAGCACUAGGGACUUAGUUUUUUGGGGACCACAGUGCAAAUGCUCCUGCCUGUAGCUUCUGUGUCAGGUCACCUGUGUUGAAACUGCUGCGGAUACACCAGCAGUAGUGAUACCGUCUGAAUAUCAGGACUUAAGCGAGGCAUUCAGUAAACGUGAGCAGUGGCGCUGCCCCCGGACCAGCCGUGGGACUGCGCCAUCAACCUUCUUCCAGGAACCACACCCCCCUGUGGGAAGGUGUAUCCCUUGUCUCUCCCUGAACAAAAAGUCAUGCAGGAAUAUAUCACUGAAGCACUGAAUGCAGGCUACAUUUGACCAUCUAAGUCCCCACCCUCCGCAGGUUUCUUUUUCGUGGAGAAGAAGGACAGAGGUCUGCGCCCCUGUAUUGAUUAUUGUGGGUUGAAUGCUAUUAUGGUAUGAUACCCACACCCCCUGCCUUUGAUCACGGCAGCAUUAGAACGAGUGCAUAGUACAAAAAUUUUAACAAAACUGGACCUUCACAGUGCCUACAACCUGAUCCGAGUCAGGGAGGGGGAUGAGUGGAAUACCACCUUUAGCUCC
rnacentral:lncRNA from 1 species